rnacentral:rRNA from 1 species
CCUACGGGAGGCAGCAGUGGGGCAUAUUGCACAAUGGGGGAAACCCUGAUGCAGCGACGCCGCGUGAGUGAAGAAGUAUUUCGGUACGUAAAGCUCUAUCAGCAGGGAAGAAAAUGACGGUACCUGACUAAGAAGCCCCGGCUAACUACGUGCCAGCAGCCGCGGUAAUACGUAGGGGGCAAGCGUUAUCCGGAUUUACUGGGUGUAAAGGGAGCGUAGACGGCAGCGCAAGUCUGGAGUGAAAUCCCAUGGCUUAACCAUGGAACUGCUUUGGAAACUGUGCAGCUAGAGUGCAGGAGAGGUAAGCGGAAUUCCUAGUGUAGCGGUGAAAUGCGUAGAUAUUAGGAGGAACACCAGUGGCGAAGGCGGCUUACUGGACUGUAACUGACGUUGAGGCUCGAAAGCGUGGGGAGCAAACAGGAUUAGAUACCCCUGUAGUC